CUCCAACCGUUUAUUAACUCUAUUGACGUCCAUUGCUCUUUCCAAUGCCUAUUCUAAUCUUCAAUUUCUCGAGAGCGUUUCCUUUACUUCACUUUCUUCAUUCUAGUUCUACAUACCAGUCUUCCUUCCCUUCGCAUUUCUUGACAGCCAGUUCGGAUUCCUCUCCUCUUAUCGUAGAAUCUCAUGGUUCAGAUGGAUACCAAUCUUUAAUUCAAGCUGUUCUUUUCCUAUAGACGUGAUACACUCUCCCAGAAUUGAACUUAUUUGUUCUCUCAGACUCUCAAUCGUGCUUCUCUCAUCAUUGAAGAAUUUUGCGGAUCCAAAGUUGAGUUCAAUGUCUUUGGGGACCAUACCAAAUGGUGGCCUCGCCGCCGGCAGGUCCACCACUAGUCGUCCCACCUCUGUCUACGGUGAUGUCCAAACCAGUCGUAUCGGCUACAAUCUUCCUCUUCCUUCCGUUCUCUGAAAUCCUCAGGUUGUUGGUGGUCCCUGAAGCUCCGCUGCUGGACAUCCAGGCAUCAACUUAUGCAGUCUAUGAAUUUUCUAGAUUCUUCUCAUCCUUGAGUCUUACAUCAACUUAUGCAAUCUAUCAAUUUGGGGAAUUUCUAUUGUAUAUGUGAAAUUAAGCAUGCGUGCGAGGAGAGGGGGAAAAAAGAAACCACCUCAAGGUCUUAUAUCCCUGCCUUAUUGUUAAUGAGAUAUCCUUUCCUAUUUUAAAGAUAUUCUUGAUACGUGUGUCAUCUAGAAUCCUUAUGAAGUUUUCCUGUGAUAAAUGGUUUCUCUCUCCCAUGUUUUUUCUAGA